rnacentral:rRNA from 1 species
UACGUAGGGUGCGAGCGUUGUCCGGAAUUAUUGGGCGUAAAGGGCUCGUAGGCGGUCUGUUGCGUCGGUAGUGAAAACUCAGGGCUUAACCCUGAGCCUGCUUCCGAUACGGGCAGACUAGAGGUAUGCAGGGGAGAACGGAAUUCCUGGUGUAGCGGUGAAAUGCGCAGAUAUCAGGAGGAACACCGGUGGCGAAGGCGGGUCUCUGGACAGGUCCUGACGCUGAGGCACGAAAGCUAGGGGAGCAAACAGG